rnacentral:rRNA from 1 species
CGAACGCUGGCGGCGCGUUUUAAGCAUGCAAGUCGAACGGUAGUAUGGCUUCGGUCAUAUGAGAGUGGCGAACGGGUGAGUAACACGUAGAUGAUCUGCCCUUGAGUUGGGGAUAGCCCAUGGAAACAUGGAGUAAUACCGAAUACGGUCCGGACACUGUGGUGACCGGAAGAAAAGCGCUUCGGCGCUGCUCGAGGAUGAGUCUGCGGCUGAUUAGCUAGUUGGUGGGGUAAGAGCUCACCAAGGCGACGAUCAGUAGCCGGCCUGAGAGGGUGAACGGCCACACUGGGACUGAGAUACGGCCCAGACUCCUACGGGAGGCAGCAGCUAAGAAUCUUCCGCAAUGGACGAAAGUCUGACGGAGCGACGCCGCGUGGGUGAUGAAGGCCGGAAGGUUGUAAAGCCCUUUUCUGACUGAGGAAUAAGCGCAGGAGGCAAUGCCUGCGUGAUGACGGUAAGUCAGGAAUAAGCCCCGGCCAAUUAC